UACGUAGGGGGCUAGCGUUGUCCGGAUUUAUUGGGCGUAAAGAGCGUGUAGGCGGCCAGGUAGGUCUGCUGUGAAAACUCGAGGCUUAACCUCGAGAUGUCGGCGGAAACCAUCUGGCUAGAGUCCGGAAGAGGAGAAUGGAAUUCCCGGUGUAGCGGUGAAAUGCGCAGAUAUCGGGAAGAACACCCGUGGCGAAAGCGCUCUGCUGGACUGCAACUGACACUCAGGGACGAAAGCUAGGGGAGCGAAUGGG
rnacentral:rRNA from 1 species